GCAGACGGCCCCUCGCCUUACCAGCUGCAGGCAGCAGAAUCCGACCAGCGUACAUCUCCCAUUGCAUCUCCCCAUGGUUUCCCAGCCGGAGCCUCGGAUUUUCCCCCACCGUGGCCUCGCGUCGCCGUCCUCCAGCUCCUCACCAGCCUCCCCUUUGCCAGCAGAGCCGACACCCGGCGAGCAUCAGCGGGGUACCAGCAACAUGUCCCGCUCUCCAGCCUCCGGCCAGCCCCGGUACUUUCUUCACAGCAGCCCCGCCAUCUCCCGCAUCCUGCCAGGUGGGGCUGGGUUAAACCCCGGCGAUUGCAAAUGCAAAGGGGAUGCUGAGCUGCUGCCCUCCCUCUUCCCUCGGCCCUGCGGCCCUUGGGCGGUGCCUGGACCCGCAGCACGGCGACCCCGCAGCCGCCUCCUCUGGGGUGGUGGUGCCGGGGCAGCAGCGGGGCUCGGAGGGAGGAAAAGCCGCCGAGCAUCAUCCCCCUGCAGAGCCCUCAUCCCAUCACACGCGGCUCCAGGGCCGGGAGCAUCCGCUGGCCAGAGGCGAGGCAGCAUCCACCAGGCUUUGGGUCUAUGCUCCUGGAGGGCUCAAACCCAGCA
rnacentral:lncRNA from 1 species